rnacentral:rRNA from 3 species
GGAGGCUUUGAAGUGUGGACGCCAGUCUGCAUGGAGCCGACCUUGAAAUACCACCCUUUAAUGUUUGAUGUUCUAACGUGGACCCGUGAUCCGGGUUGCGGACAGUGUCUGGUGGGUAGUUUGACUGGGGCGGUCUCCUCCUAAAGAGUAACGGAGGAGCACGAAGGUUGGCUAAUCCUGGUCGGACAUCAGGAGGUUAGUGCAAUGGCAUAAGCCAGCUUGACUGCGAGCGUGACGGCGCGAGCAGGUGCGAAAGCAGGUCAUAGUGAUCCGGUGGUUCUGAAUGGAAGGGCCAUCGCUCAACGGAUAAAAGGUACUCCGGGGAUAACAGGCUGAUACCGCCCAAGAGUUCAUAUCGACGGCGGUGUUUGGCACCUCGAUGUCGGCUCAUCACAUCCUGGGGCUGAAGUAGGUCCCAAGGGUAUGGCUGUUCGCCAUUUAAAGUGGUACGCGAGCUGGGUUUAGAACGUCGUGAGACAGUUCGGUCCCUAUCUGCCGUGGGCGCUGGAGAACUGAGGGGGGCUGCUCCUAGUACGAGAGGACCGGAGUGGACGCAUCACUGGUGUUCGGGUUGUCAUGCCAAUGGCACUGCCCGGUAGCUAAAUGCGGAAGAGAUAAGUGCUGAAAGCAUCUAAGCACGAAACUUGCCCCGA